rnacentral:rRNA from 1 species
GACGAACGCUGGCGGCGUGCUUAACACAUGCAAGUCGAGCGGGAAACUUCGGUUUCCAGCGGCGGACGGGUGAGUAACACGUGGGCAACCUGCCUCACAAUGAGGGAUAGCCCUCCGAAAGGAGGAUUAAUACCUCAUAACACAAGAGAAACGCAUGUUUCUCUUGCCAAAGAAUUUCGUUGUGAGAUGGGCCCGCGGCGCAUUAGCUUGUUGGUGAGGUAACGGCUCACCAAGGCUUCGAUGCGUAGCCGACCUGAGAGGGUGAUCGGCCACAUUGGAACGGAGACACGGUCCAGACUCCUACGGGAGGCAGCAGUGGGGAAUAUUGCACAAUGGAGGAAACUCUGAUGCAGCAACGCCGCGUGAGUGAUGAAGGUCUUCGGAUUGUAAAGCUCUGUCUUCUGGGACGAUAAUGACGGUACCAGAGGAGGAAGCCACGGCUAACUACGUGCCAGCCGCCGCCGUAA